UACGUAGGUGGCAAGCGUUAUCCGGAAUUAUUGGGCGUAAAGCGCGCGCAGGUGGUUUCUUAAGUCUGAUGUGAAAGCCCACGGCUCAACCGUGGAGGGUCAUUGGAAACUGGGAGACUUGAGUGCAGAAGAGGAAAGUGGAAUUCCAUGUGUAGCGGUGAAAUGCGUAGAGAUAUGGAGGAACACCAGUGGCGAAGGCGACUUUCUGGUCUGUAACUGACACUGAGGCGCGAAAACGUGGGGAGCAAACAGG
rnacentral:rRNA from 1 species